UAUAAGAAUGGUUUAUUAUAUGUUUCAGUACCAGACGUUCAACAAUUAUGUCAUCUAUCGAAAGCAGCAAGUCUUCUUAAGACGCCAGGGGCGAUAUUAGUUAAUUAUUGAAACCGUCAAUUAACAACUGAAGACGGCAUCAAGAGUAAUUUGGAUGUUUUAUCCAGAUGAAAAAAAUAUAUAUCAACUGGAAAAAAGAAGGAAUAAAAGUCUGGUUACUUUAUUUAGAGAUCCUUUAAAAAAUGAUUUUGACUUGCUGAGAGAUGGAAGGUAUAAUAGCAAGCAUGUUAUUUUUGUUUAAUAUCUCCCCAAUUUGAAUUAAAUUUUUUAACUGACAGUAAACUUUAUUCUUUAUUUUUCCUCACCUCAAACCUCAUCCAAACAUUUCCAUCAUUUUGCUACUUUUAUUCAUUUUUAAUAUUCAUUUUAGCCAAAUUUUAGAACAUAAUUCAAAAAAUUGUAGCAAUGCAUUUUUUUUUUCU